GAGGAGGAAGAGACGCCGCCUCGCUGGCUAUGGUGUGAUGAUAAAAAGAAAGAAUUGCUGAUGCUCCUGCCAGAGAAGCUGUCGAAUGAAGUAUCUAACUAUAACCCCAACUGCAGCAGUAAGUGACAGGAGCAUAGAGAAAAGGCCAACAGAGUGACAUCAGUAAAAGAAACAGAAAGGAGACCAUUCUCCCUAACGUGGUUGGCAUCGUAUCACUGAGAGACUGCUCUUGGAAGUUCCAAAGGCCUAUCUAUUGGAUUCUUUGAAGGACCAUCUCUAAGUCUGGAAACUACCCUAGUACAGCAAUGCGGACUUCAUGCA